AUUGAACGCUGGCGGCAUGCUUUACACAUGCAAGUCGAACGGGCUUGGGGGCUUGCUCCCAAGUUAGUGGCGAACGGGUGAGUAAUACAUCGGAACGUACCGUGUAGUGGGGGAUAACGUAGCGAAAGUUACGCUAAUACCGCAUACAAUCUACGGAUGAAAGCAGGGGACCUUCGGGCCUUGUGCUAUACGAGCGGCCGAUGUCUGAUUAGCUAGUUGGUGAGGUAAAGGCUCACCAAGGCGACGAUCAGUAGCGGGUCUGAGAGGAUGAUCCGCCACACUGGGACUGAGACACGGCCCAGACUCCUACGGGAGGCAGCAGUGGGGAAUUUUGGACAAUGGGCGAAAGCCUGAUCCAGCCAUGCCGCGUGUCUGAAGAAGGCCUUCGGUUGUAAGGAACUUUUGUUCAGGGAGGCAAACUUAACUGGUUAAUACCCGGUGAGGCUGAGAGUACCUGAAGAAUAAG
rnacentral:rRNA from 1 species